rnacentral:rRNA from 1 species
UACGAAGGGGGCUAGCGUUGCUCGGAAUUACUGGGCGUAAAGGGCGCGUAGGCGGACAGUUUAGUCAGAGGUGAAAGCCCGGGGCUCAACUCCGGAAUUGCCUUUAAGACUGCAUCGCUAGAAUCCGGGAGAGGUGAGUGGAAUUCCGAGUGUAGAGGUGAAAUUCGUAGAUAUUCGGAAGAACACCAGUGGCGAAGGCGGCUCACUGGACCGGUAUUGACGCUGAGGUGCGAAAGCGUGGGGAGCGAACAGG